AUGAAGCUUCCUCCCUUAAAACUUCAAUCAAAGGAGGUUUGCAGGGUUCAAAAUAAGGAUAAGGCAUACAAAGCAAAAAAACCAAAAGCAAACCAGAAACCAUUUGAGGGCGGCUGUAAUCACCUAGGACUGACUGAGCUGGCAAGAAAAGGAGAGAGGAUUCCUUGGCAAGGGUGGAUGACCAUCGCAGCUGAGCCCGUGUUUUGCAGAGCUGCAGGGAAUGGAGGCUGCUGGGUGCUGGGGAGACCUGUACCACGAGGCCACCCAAGGCUGCACCGCUGUGCACUCCCAUACCACCAGGAGACUCUCGCUCCCUGCAAUUGGAAGGCAAGCAAAGAAACCCAGAGCCUGUUAAGCACUCCAGCCUUGCAGUGGCUGCAUGGUGGUGAUCUCCCCUGGAGCAGGAGUGCCUCCUGAGGCCACUCCUCAAGGUCAAGAGAUCCCUUACCAUCUGGGCAUCUGGUAUCUACAGCAAGGUAAAUGACAUUUUAUGUUAAAUCUAAAGUAUACUGUACACAAGCUAGCUUAAUUAUUAGAAGUGUGAUAAGUAGUGUAGAGUGUUUGACCCCCUUGUUGUCAUUGUUUAGUAACUGUUUAAUCAUCAUCAUUAAAUCACUGUUUAAUAAAACCUUUUGGUUAACCCUACAAUAAUGGCUUCUCUUAAUAGCUUGAAAAAUUUUUGAUACUGCUGAAUACCCGAGUUGGUUUGCUCUCUACUUCCUGGAGAAGAAGAAAAAAAAAAAAAAAAAAAAAGUAGGUAGGUAGUUACUUGUGUUUACAUCAUAUUAAGUUCCACCCGGAAACUUUGUGGGACUGGAACGUCAUUUACAAUAAUGAAGCAAACAGUUCAGAAUGGUAUUACAAAUUGCCACAGCUGACACAUAGGGAUAAAUGACUCAUCCAGAACGCAUUCAGAUGGAGUUCCCAGUCAACCAACUGAAUUGCAUUCAGCAGUACUUAAAAAUACUAGCAGAUAUUUAUCUAUUUCUCCAUACUGGGAGCUUAAACUCUGCAGGUGUAGGUGAAGUGUGUGCGUGCCAGGGCCAGCUCAGUCUGCAUCUGUGAGUUCCUUUUCCUGUUGGCUAACUCUGUUACUUAGAAUUAAAUGUUGAUUGGGGUUCAGAAUUCAAUUUUACACAAGAUACAACCCAAAGCAGAAAAUCUAGACAAAUGGUAGAAGAUCUGAUCUGUAAAGGGGUGAACUAGUGACUUCUGUGAGUGUGUGUGGCAAAGUGUCAGCCCACCAAAGUCAGCUGGCCUGACACAGAUCUGUCCAAUUGUAACGCUUCAAGAGUUUAAUGAGAAGUUUCUGUCAAUACAAAAUAGCAACUAAAGCACUUCCAUCUGUUACUCCUUGAUGAAGAUGUUUAUUUCAAGGCUAUAUUCUGCUGCAAGUGAAGGGUAAUGGUUUACAUACAAAUGCAUGCUCAACACACCAUUUAAUUUGAAUGCCUUUAGUAACAAUGGAAGAUGCUCAGAUUGACAGCCUCACAGAUUAAAGCUCACAGCAUGGUGGUUUGGGGGGAAAAUGCAAGAUACACACAAGAAAAUUAUUUACAAAAAUCUCUUAAUGCUAAAGACCUACCCAGGUCUAAGGCAGAUAGCCUUUGAUAACAUAGUUUUUACAGUCCAUCACAAGUUCUGACCCAGUUAUGAAAUGGCUGUAGUGUCGCCUUCCUCAGCAUACAGCAAGUCAAGCCAUAGGCUGUAUUACCUUUAUUCCAGACUGGUGGUAGUGCAGACAUUAAACACUGCAGUCUCCUAUUGCAACACAAAUGCACAGGGGAAAUGGAGCUGGACUGCAGAAGUCAGUUUAGCUAAGCCUGCCUCUGAGCAAUGGAUUUUAAGCAGUAAAAUUUUCUCAGGAGUGUAACACAGACUGAGGAUAAUGCUGUUACUAUCAAAUGCUUGUUAUCUUCAAGUCUAAUAUGCUGGUGGGUAAAAAGAACCUGUGGAGGAACAAGUUGGGGAAAUCCAAAUACAUGAUAUUGUCUUGCAGGGAUCUGUUUUAACUGGUUUAACU
rnacentral:lncRNA from 13 species